CCAGACUCCUACGGGAGGCAGCAGUAGGGAAUCUUCGGCAAUGGACGGAAGUCUGACCGAGCAACGCCGCGUGAGUGAAGAAGGUUUUCGGAUCGUAAAGCUCUGUUGUAAGAGAAGAACGAGUGUGAGAGUGGAAAGUUCACACUGUGACGGUAUCUUACCAGAAAGGGACGGCUAACUACGUGCCAGCAGCCGCGGUAAUACGUAGGUCCCGAGCGUUGUCCGGAUUUAUUGGGCGUAAAGCGAGCGCAGGCGGUUAGAUAAGUCUGAAGUUAAAGGCUGUGGCUUAACCAUAGUACGCUUUGGAAACUGUUUAACUUGAGUGCAAGAGGGGAGAGUGGAAUUCCAUGUGUAGCGGUGAAAUGCGUAGAUAUAUGGAGGAACACCGGUGGCGAAAGCGGCUCUCUGGCUUGUAACUGACGCUGAGGCUCGAAAGCGUGGGGAGCAAACAGGAUUAGAUACCCUGGUAGUCCACGCCGUAAACGAUGAGUGCUAGGUGUUAGACCCUUUCCGGGGUUUAGUGCCGCAGCUAACGCAUUAAGCACUCCGCCUGGGGAGUACGACCGCAAGGUUGAAACUCAAAGGAAUUGACGGGGGCCGCACAAG
rnacentral:rRNA from 1 species